UACGGAGGGAGCGAGCGUUGUCCGCAGUUACUGGGCGUAAAGCGCGCGUAGGCGGAUAUUUAAGUUAGGGGUGAAAUCCCAGGGCUCAACCCUGGAACUGCCUUUAAUACUGGGUAUCUCGAGUCCGAGAGAGGUGAGUGGAAUUCCGAGUGUAGAGGUGAAAUUCGUAGAUAUUCGGAGGAACACCAGUGGCGAAGGCGGCUCACUGGCUCGGUACUGACGCUGAGGUGCGAAAGCGUGGGGAGCAAACAGG
rnacentral:rRNA from 1 species